rnacentral:rRNA from 1 species
CCAGAAGGUAUCCUUCUGGCAAGGGUACUGUACUAAACUAACUAAAGUGGGGGAUAGUGAGGGGAUAAAUUUUCUUAAGGAACUCGGCAAAAUCCCAAUGGCCCACCAGGGCAUAUUGGAACACGGGCCUCGACUGUUUACCAAAAACAUAGCCCUCGGCUAAUAUGAAAAUAGAUGUAUAGAGGGUGAUGCCUGCCCAAUGGUUGUAUCUAAAAGCGGUUGAUAAAAGUUGACCUCGUAAGGACAAUUGAAUGGCCGCGGUAACACUGACCGUGAUAAUGUAGCGUAAUCAAUAGCCAAUUAAUUGUUGGCCAGUAUGAAUGGCGCCACGAAGGCCCCACUGUCUUAAGGAAAUUCCCAGUGAAAUUGAAUUCGUAGUGAAGAUGCUACGUCCAAUUUGUUAGACGAAAAGACCCCGUUGAGCUUUACUGGAGCACUUACAUGGCCCCGGCCUUCCCAUGCCUGGGAACCGGCCGAAUUUAAAUGGGCGGCUUAGAUUAUGUGGCAGCCCCCCGCUGGGGCAAAUGAAACACCACUCCCCCAUGUCAAAGGGGCUAACCCCCCCCCUUGGGGGGACAGUGUAAGUAGGACAGUUUGGUUGGGGCGACCACCUUUUAAAAAGUAACGAAGGUGCGCUUAAGGUGCGCAAUUAAUGACUGAAGCCUGACUGCGAGGGGGACACCCCGAGCAGACACCCCAAAGCCCGCCCGAAAGGCGGC